UAUCUUUCACAUAUUUAUGGUGAAACAAUUGCUUUAGAUAUGAUUCAAGAAGUUCGAACCCACAGUUUUGAUCUCUUUUAAGAGUAUAAGAGUAGAGUACCUGCUACACAUGGAGCAUCUAGUUCUAAUGAAGUUAUUGGUCUUUUUGAGGUUGAUCGUCUGUCUAGCUUUGAUAGAUUUUUCGCUUCGAGUAGGGCUAAUGUGGAGACAAGAUCGGAGCUAGAUUUGUAUUUAGAAGAAAGUUUGCUACCUCGAACUCCAUCGUUCGACAAUUUAAGUUGGUGGAAGACAAACGGAUUAAAAUUUCCUACUUUGCAGAAGAUGGCUUGUGACCUCUUAGCCAUUCCCGUCUCUACCGUUGAUUCAGAAUCGGCAUUUAGCACUAGUGGGAGGUUGAUUAGUCUGCAUCGUAGUAGACUUCAUCCUACUACUUUGGAGGCUUUGAUGUGUGCUCGCACUUGGUUAUGGAACGAAAUAAAUGGUUUGACUUCAACGGUCGACAAAGUUUCAUGUCCAACAUUACUUGACGAAGAGGAACAGCCGGAUUCAAGUGGACUUACCGGUCCAUAGCUAAAAUUGUCCAGCCACUAUAUUCCUUCUCUGUGGCUCUAACUGUGUUUUUAUUUUCAUCUCAAUGUUCAGCUCUUAUCUGUUUCAUAUUUUUUGGAGCAAAUUGUGUACCUAGCAUCUGGGAUGCCUUCCAGUUUACUGGUGCCACAGCUACUGUCUCUGUUGGUUUCAUUUUCCCUGCUGCUAUUGUCCUUAGGUGAGUACCCCUGUCUACCAUCUUCCUUCUCCAGGCUGGUUUAACAAUGAAUCUUAACUCUUAUUAAUUGUCCAAUCGUUUCUUUGAUGAAAAUUCUUGAAAAGAAUUUAACCAUUGCCCGUAAUCAUUGUCUCAUAUUCAAAGUUAAUUUUCCACCUUUUCCAUUGAUCAAGGAUACACAUGGGAUCACAACCAAGAGAGACAGGUUGGUGUCAUGGGUUAUGAUACUAUUAGCUGUUUCUUCAAGUAUUGUGUCAAUCUGUAGUGACAUUUACAGUGUUUUCAAUAUUGGAGUUGAAGCUUAGAAGAAUGCGAAAAAAAUUGGAUACUUUGGCUAUUUAGAUCUUAGCCAAAAUUUGGAGUAUGUUGCUAUGGUAGCAGUUGGAGUAUGUUGCUAUGGUAAAUGAACAUUCUGGCAUUGCAAGCAAUGAGGUUGUCCUUGAUGGUGGUGAUGUCCACGGUCGAUGCGUGAAACAACGAUUGUAAUUGAAGUUGUAACUGCCAAACUGUGAUCCUCAAUAGGAUAGGAACAUAUUUCAUGAUGCAGGUUGUAGUUUGACAUAGAUGUAAAUUUGGGUCUGUCAAUGUCAUUGAUAUUUUUGUAAUCAUCUAUAUAAUAUGUUGUUCCUAGUAAUGUGUAUUUGUGUAUGGUUCUCGCUACUUGAGGCUCUUGAUACAUUUCCCUAGAUACAGCUUCUAAUUCUCUGUCCA